rnacentral:rRNA from 1 species
CCUACGGGAGGCAGCAGUAGGGAAUCUUCCGCAAUGGACGCAAGUCUGACGGAGCAACGCCGCGUGAGUGAAGAAGGUCUUCGGAUCGUAAAGCUCUGUUGUUAGAGAAGAACAGCGCAUAGAGUAACUGCUAUGCGUGUGACGGUAUCUAACCAGAAAGCCACGGCUAACUACGUGCCAGCAGCCGCGGUAAUACGUAGGUGGCGAGCGUUGUCCGGAUUUAUUGGGCGUAAAGGGAGUGUAGGCGGUCUUUUAAGUCUGAUGUGAAAGCCCACGGCUCAACCGUGGAGGGUCAUUGGAAACUGGGAGACUUGAGUGCAGAAGAGGAGAGCGGAAUUCCAUGUGUAGCGGUGAAAUGCGUAGAUAUAUGGAGGAACACCAGUGGCGAAGGCGGCUCUCUGGUCUGUAACUGACGCUGAGGCUCGAAAGCGUGGGGAGCAAACAGGAUUAGAUACCCUGGUAGUCCACGCCGUAAACGAUGAGUGCUAAGUGUUGGAGGGGUUCCACCCUUCAGUGCUGGAGUUAACGCAAUAAGCACUCCGCCUGGGGAGUACGGCCGCAAGGCUGAAACUCAAAGGAAUUGACGG